rnacentral:snoRNA from 10 species
GGGCUGUGAGGAAAGAAAACCUUGUGCCGGAGGCGGAUGCGCCGGUGUCGGUAACACAAAAUCCUCUAAGAAGUUCUGAGCUC